AGGACGUAGGUUUAGGCGCGGCGCUGCCCGCCUCGCUCCAGGUUACGUGGGUGCUGUCCUGGAGUAGAAAGCGGCUGCCCACCCUUGCCCCCCGCCCCACCCCCUCCGGGUGGGUUUGUGCUGUAGCCUUCGCUGCCCCAUGCAGUGUUUGCUCCUGCAUUUUUUCUGCAUAUCCUGAGUGGCUCUCACGCGCAGAGGGCGGCGCCAUGUUGGGAACCUGGCCGCGACCUGGGGACAGGACAGCAGGGCACUCUGCCCACACGGAGGACCGGAAAACAGGUAUGCCUCUACCUGGUAGCUGAGAUCCUGGACCUCCAAGGUGUUGGACUGGCCACUGUAGGUGAAGUAUAGGCUGUUGUCAUUUUCAGAGGAGAACAAGCUGUCCUGGAGGCCCUGCUGAGAAACAUGACAGAGUUGCCACUCACGCACUGAUGUGUUCAGUCAAGUAAGCAAGCAAGCAUCCAAUACUUAUUGGGAGCCCACAUGAUGCUACAAGUUUGGAGUUUGGGAUAUGACAGUGAAAAAGAUGGUCUCUGAGAAACUUAAACUUUUUAUUGAGGUAAAAUUGGUAUAUAACAUUAUGCUAGUGUCAGGUGCACAACACAACAAUUUAAGAUUUGUGUACACUGCAAAGUCACUACAAUAUGUGUAGUUACCAUCUGUCAUCAUGCAAAGAAACUUAGAUGAAAAAAAAUUUUUUUAAUGUUUAUUUUUGAGAGAGAGACAGAGACAGAAUGUGAGCAGGGGAGGGGCAGAGAGGGAGACCCAGAAUCCAAAGCAGGCUCCAGGCUUUGAGCUGUCAGCACAGAGCCUGAUGCAGGGCUCAAACCCACAAACCAUGAGAUCAUGACCUGAGCCAAAGUCAGAUGCCCAACCAACUGAGCUACCCAGGUGCCC